rnacentral:rRNA from 1 species
UACAGAGGGUGCGAGCGUUGUCCGGAAUCACUGGGCGUAAAGGGCGCGUAGGUGGUGGCUUAAGCGUGCGGUGAAAGCUCGGAGCUCAACUCCGAGUCGGCCGUGCGAACUGGGCUCACUGGAGCAUAGUAGAGGCAGGUGGAAUUCCGGGUGUAGCGGUGGAAUGCGUAGAGAUCCGGAAGAACACCGGUGGCGAAGGCGGGUCUCUGGGCCGUAACUGACGCUGAGGAGCGAAAGCGUGGGGAGCAAACGGG